CUGGGAGUCCUUUUGCGUUUCAGAUGCUCCCAGGCUCUCCCGCAGUUUAAAGACUUAACUCAGCGGCUUUCAGGGCCUGUGGUUGAGGGACUCCGAAAGAACUGUUGCUGGUGGACCGGUUCAGGGUCUUGACUUCGCCACACAAAAGAACUUGAGAGCACGUCCAAAGUAAAGCUAAGACCUCUAGUACAGUGUUCAAUGGAACUGGUGAGAAAAGACGUCCUUGCUGUGUUCCUGAUAUGAAGAGGAAAGCAGUCCUUCUCCAUUAAAUGCUGACAACAUGAGCCUCCCGUGGUCGGAACGGGCUUGUGAAGGCGGUGCUGGGGUGCACCAGGGCAGCAGCUACAGCAUUUACUGUCUGGGUCAAAGAGGAUGUGUCCUAAAAGGAGAAUGAGAAAUAAAACCCAGAAGGAGAAAGAAAACGUGGAGAAUAUUGCUGAUUGCAGCCAAGGGAAGAGAAUGUUUCCAGAAGGAGGUUACCACUGCGAGGUCAAGUAAGGGACUGGAGAAUGCUUCUGUAUCUUGGCAGGAGUAACGCGAAUAAAAAGCAAUGGGACAGACACUUUGGAAGACAGUUUGGCAGUUUCUUACAAAAGAAGAAAUUGGCCCAAUGUGACAGUCAUGUCCUACUACUUGGCACUUGUAUUCCUUGGUAUUUGCACAAUUGAUUUGAAAGCUUAUAUCCACACAGAAACGUGCACACAAAUGAUUAUAACAACUUUAUUAAUAAUUGCCAAAAACAGAAAGAAAGCAAGUUGUUCUUCAGUAGGUGAAUGAACAAAAAAUUGUACUACAUUCGUACAAUGGAGUCUUAUUCAUCCUUAAGAUGAAAUGAGCUAUCAAGCUAUAAAAAACAUUGGGGGGGGGGAUCAUAGAUGCAUAUUGCUAGGUGAAAUAAGUCAGUCUAAAAAGCCUACAUACUAUAUGAUUCCAACCAUAUGACAUUCUAAAAUAGGAAGAACAAUGGAGAUAGUAAAAAGGAUAGUAGAUGCUGGGGGCCAGGGGGCAGUAUGAAGAGAGAAGAUGAGUAAGUGGAACGUAGGGGAUUUUUAGGGAAGUAAAAUUAUUUUGUAUAAUACUGUGAUGGUGAAUACCUGAUAUUAUGCAUCUGACAUCAUGCAGUGGGCAUAUAGAAGCCCAUCAACAAUACAAUACAAAUGGUAAACCUUAGUGUAAACUAUAGACUUUAGGCAACACUAAUAAUGUAUAAAUAUUGGUUCACCAAUUGUAACAAAACUACCACAGUGAUGCAAUAAGUUUAUAUUUGUGGAAACUAUGUGAGAAGAGGGAGGAGGAGUAUAUGGGAACUCUCUGUACUUUUAUGUUCUAUUUUCAUAUAAACUGAAAACUGCUCUAAAAAAUAAAUCCUACUAAGUAAAAACAUAAAAAGGAAACAUGGAGCAAUGAGAAAUCCAUAGAGGUUUUGAAAAGCUCUGAAAGUAUUCCUGGAAAAAUAGAGGACCAUGCACAUACAUAGAGCAUGAACAUGUUCAGGAAAGACCUAAAAAGACCCUAAGGUCUCACUUCUGGCUGAUCUUGAGAAUAUGUGUGACAGCAAGUGAAGGCUAAGGCAGAGUUGUUAAUUACCUGGCUGAGUGUUGAAGGCAUACCCCUACAAGUAAACAGUGGCUCUCAGCAACACUUAGAGAUAUAUUGACUCCAUCUAUUUAAAUAUGUCUAUGUCCAGUAGUUAGCUAACCACUAAAGACUUCGGUGAUCAAACACAACAAUGAAUACAGACUGUUCAGAAUUAGUUCAGAAAAGUCACUAAACUAAACAAACAAAAAAAACAAACCCAGCAACUACAAUAAGCAGCAAUUGCAGACCCUGGGGACAGAAGAGGGCAAAGAGAGAAUCUGAUAUCUACUAUUGCUACAUUAUAUUAUUUAAACAUCAAGUUUUAAAAAAAUAAGAGAAAAAAGAAUGUAUGACCCAUACACAAGAAGGAAAAAAGCAAUCAAUAGAAACUAUCCCUGAAAGAAUGUAGAUGUUGAAUUUACUAAAGAGAGACUUUAAAUUAGUUAUUUAAAAUAAAUUGAAAAUAAUAUAGAAAAUAGCAAAAUGGAAGAUGCAAAAUGGCAGAGGUAAAUCCAAUAGUAUUAGUAAUUACACUAAUUGGAAAUGGAUUAAAUUCUCUAAUCAAAAGGCAGAGAUUGACUUAAUGGAUAAAAAACAUAAUCCAACUAUAUGCUUUCUACAAGAAACAUAAUUUAGAUUCAAAGACAAAAGUAUGUUUCAAAUCAAAAGAUGAAAAAAGAUCUAUAGUGCAAACAGUAACAAAAGGAGAUCUGGAAAAGCAUAUACUAUGCAAACGUAAGCAAAAGAGAGCUGGAAAAAGAUACUUCAUGCAAACUGUAACCAAAAUAGAAUUGAGGUGGAUAUACUAAUAUUAAAAUAGAUUUUAGGACAAAUAUUUGUAGUAAAUACAGAGAAAAAUACUUGAUAAUGAUAAAAGAAUGGAUUCAAAAAGAAGAUAUAAUAAUUAUAAAUGUAUGAACCAAGUAACAAACUCUUAAAAUACAUGAAGGAGGAAUUGAUUAAAUUGAAGGGAGAAAUAUAAAAUUCAACAAUAGUCAGAAACCUCAAUACCCCACUUUCAAUGAUGGACAUAACAACUAGACAAAAGAUCAUCUAGGAAAUAAAAGAGUUGAACAGUACUAUAAACAAUUAGGCAUAAGACAUAGCUAUAGAAUAGUCCACCCAACAAUAGCAUAAUACACAUUAUUUCCAAGUGUACGUGGAAAAUUCUCAAGGAUAGAUUACAUUUUAGGCCAUAAAACAAGUUUCAAUAUAUUUAAAAGAACUGAAAUCAUAACAAAUCUCCUUCAACAACGAUUGAAAUUAGAAAUGUAAACAACACACUCCUAAAUAGCCAACAGGUUAAAGAAAUAGUCACAGUGAAAUUAGAAAAUACUUUAAAAUUAAAACCCUACAUACCAAAAUUUAUGGAAUGCAGUUGAAGUAGUGCUUAGAGAAAAAUUUACAGAAAUCAAUGCCUACAUUGGAAAAGAAUAAAGGUCUGUCUUAAAUCAAUAACCUAGCUUAAAAAACCUAGGAAAACAAGAGCAAACUAAUCAGAAAGCAAGCAAAAAAGGAAAUAAUAGAAGAGCAAAAUAAAUAAAAUGGGUCAUAGGACAUUAUGUUAAGUGAAAUUCUCAGACACAGAAAGACAAAUAGUACGUGAUCUCACUCAUACUCAUCUAGAAAAGGUCAAUAUUAGUUACUGUUACAGAAGUAGUGUGUGGAAUGGUGGUUAUCAGGGGGUGUGGUGAAGGGUAGUGGUGGGGAGAUGUUUGUCGAAGGAAACAAAAUUUCAAUUUGUUGGGAGGAAUAAGUCCAAGAGAUGUAGUGUACAACAUGAUGACUAUAGUGAACAGUAUACUGUAUUAUCAGAAAAUGUAAGAGUGGAUUUAAAGUGUUCUCACCACAAAAAUGACAGCUAUGUGAGGAAUGUAUGUCAUUCCACAGUGUUUAUUAUAUGCACUUCGAGACAUUGUUAUACAUGAUAAAUAUAUACAAAUUUUAUUUGUUAAUUUAAAAAUAGAGAAUAACAAAACAAAACUUUUUUUAAUAUUAACAAAUGGAUAAGUCUCUAGCUGGACUAGCAAGAAAUAAAGAGAAAAGGCUCAAACUUACAGAUAUAAAAAGGAUUAUAAAGAAGUAUUAUGAACAGUUGUAAGCCAAUAAAGUAGGUAACUCAUAUAAAAUUAACAAUUUCUGGAAAGACACCAACUAUCGAAACUGACUCAAGAAAAAAUAGACACCGAAAUAGACCUAAAACAAGCAAAGAGAUUAAAUUAGUAAUCAAGAAACCACACACAAAGACAGGUCCAGCAGACGGUUUCACCUCUUAAUUCUACUAGACAUUUAAAUAAUAAUUAAUAGUAAUUUUUCACAAACAUUUUCAAAAAAUAGAAGAGAGAACAGUUCCCAUUCAUUCUCUGAGGCUAUUACUAUACCAAUACUACACAGGAAAAGGCAUCAUAAGAAAAGAAAACUAUAAAGCAAUAUAUCUUAUAAAUAAAAAUGUAAAAAUCCUUAAUAAAAUAUUUGUGUAUUGAAUCUGUUAACAUCAAAAAUAUUCCACACCAUGACCAAGUGGGAUUUAUCCCAGGAUGCAAGGUUUGGUUUAAUGUGUGAAAAUUAAUCUUUGUAAUGUACUAGUCGAAUAAAAUAAACAAAAUCCACAUGGUCAUCUCAAUAAAUACUGAAGGCAUUUGACAAAAUCUAGCAUUCUUUGGUGAUGAAAACACUCAACUAACUAGCGAUAGAAGGGAACCACCUCAACUUGAUAGAGAAUAUCUAUGAAAAAACCACAACUAACAUUAUACUUAAUGGUGAAAGACCAGACCUUCCCCCUAAGACCAGGAAAAAUACAAGGAUGGCUGCUUUCACUAUUUCCAUUCAACACCAUACUGGACAUUCUAGAGAGGAAAAUUAGGCAAGAAAAUGAAAUAAAAGACAUCUAGAUUGGAAAGGAAGAAGUAAAAGCAUCUCUACUUAUAGAUGAGUUGAUUUUAUAUGUAGAAAAUCCUGAGAAAUCCAUUAAAAAUCUCAUAAACUAGUUAAGCGAGGUUUCAGAAUACAAGAUCAAUAUAUGAAAAACAGUUGUACUUUUCUCAGAUUUUUAUUUUAGGUUCAGGGUCACAUGUGCAGGUUUGUUAUACAGGUAAACUCAUGUUAUGGAGUUUUUUGUACAGAUUAUUUUGUCAUCCAGGUACUAAGCCUAGUACCCAAUAGUUAUUUUUUCUGCUGCUGUCUCUCCUCCCGCCCUUCAUCAAGUAGGCCCCAGUGUCUGCUGUUUUCUUCUUUGUAUCCAUGAGUUCUCAUCGUUUAUCUCUCAUUUAUAAGUGAGAACAUGCGGUAUUUGGUUUUCUGUUCCUGUGUUAGUUUGUUAAGCAUAAUGGCCUUCAACUCCAUCCGUGUUCCCACAAAAGACACAUAUAUUUUCAUAUACUUGCAAUGAACAAUCUAAAAAUGAAAUUAAGAAAACAAUUCCAUUUGCAAUACCACCAAAAAGAACAAAAUAUUUAAGAAUAAUAACAAAAGAGGUGUAAAACUCAUGCUCUGAAAACAACAAAACUGUGUUGAAGGAAAUUUCAGAAGAGCCAAACAAAUGGAAAAAAUGUAUGUUCAUGGACAGGAAGAAGUGGUAUUGUUAUGACGGCAAUACAGCCCAAAUUGAUUUAUAGGUUAAAAGCAAUCCCAAUCAGUAUGCAUACCUUUUAACAAGCUGUUUCUAAACUUUAUAUGGAAUUGUGAUGAACCAUAAAUAUCGAAAACAGUUUUGAAGAAGAAGAAUCAAAUAGGCAGACUCACUUCUUGACUUCAAAACUUACUACAAUGAAAUGGUCAUCAAGAAAGUAUGGUCCUGGCAUAAGGAUAGACGUAUAGAUAAAUGGAGUAAAAGUGAGAGUCCAGAAAUAAAACCUUGUGUCUAUGGUCAACUGAAUUUUGACAAGGAUGUCAAAACUAUUCAAUAGAGAAAAAAGAGUCUUACCAACAAAUGGUUUAGGGACAGCCAUAUGCCAAAGAAUGAAAUGGGACUCUUCCCUCUCACCGAACACAAAUAGGAACUCAAAGUAGUUUAAAGGCCUAAAUGUAAGAACUAAAAUUAUAAAUCUUUUAGAAUAAGUCAUAGGGGAAAAUCUUCCCAAUCUCAGAUAUGAUAAAAUACUCUUAGAUAUGACAAUAAAAGUAUGAACAGCAAAAUAAAAAAAUCAAUAAUUUGGACUUAUCAAAAUUCUAAAAGUUUUUGCAUCAAAAGAUACUAUCAAGAAAGUGAAAAGUCAAUAAACGGUAUGGGAGAAAAUAUUUGCAAAUACUAUAUCUCAUAAAGGACUUAUAUCUAGAAUAUAUAAGAACACUUAUAAUCAAGAACAAGAAUAUAAAUAACCCAAUUUAAAAAUGAGCAAAGUAUGUAAAUGCACGUUUUUGCAAAGAAGAUAUAAAAAUGUCCAAUACGGACAUGAAGGAUACUCGACAUCAUUAGUAAUCAAGGAAACGCUAAUCAAAUCCACAAUAUGAUACCACUUCACAUCCACUAAGAUGACUAUAAUCAAGAAUCAGAAAAUAACAAGUGUUACUGAGGAUGUAGAAAAAAUAAAACCAUUAUAUACUGCUAGUGUGGUGCAGCUCCUUGGAAAGUAGUCUGGAAAUUCCUCAAAUACUUAAACAUAGAGUUACCUUAUGAUUCAGCAAUUCCUUCCUAAGUAUAUGCUCAAGAAACAUAAAAACAUAUAUCCAUACAAAAUCUUGUACACAAAUGUUUAGCAUUCUGUCAUUCAUAAUAGCAAAAAGGAGUAAACAACUCAAAUGUCCAUCAACUGACACAUGGAUAAAUAAAAUGUGGCAUAUCCAUACAACAGAAUAUUAUUCAGCAAUCAAAAGGAAUGGAGUACUGAUACAUUCUUAAUCAUGGAUGAAACUUGAAAGCAUUAUGCUAAGUGAAAGAAUCUCGUCAGAAAAUGUCACAUAUUAUGAGCUAUUCAUUUGAAGUAUACAGAACAGGAAAAUUUAUAGGGACAUAAAGCAGAAUAGUGGUUGCUUAGGGUUUGGGAGUGAGAAGGUAUGGUGGUGAUAGGUAAGGUCGUGGGGUUUCUUUUGGACAUGAUGAAAAUAUUCUAAAUUGACUAUAUUGAUGGCUGCAUGUGUCUGUAAAUAUGCUGAAAAUCUGACUGGAGCACUUUCAGUGGGUGAAUUCUAUGCUAAGUGAAUUAUGUUGCAAUAAAACUGUUGAUAUAAGAAGUAUAGAAUCUGAGUAUACCUAUAACAAGUAAAGAGAUUUAAUUAGCAGUAAUAAUAAUAAUAAUAACUUAUCACAAACAAAAGCUCAGGAUUAGAUGGCUUCACGGGUAAUUCUACCAAAUAUUUAAAGAAGAAUUGGCAUCAGUACUACACAAACACUUCCAAAUAUAGACGAGGAAGGCAUACUUCCCAUGUCAUUCCAUGAGAUCUGUGUUAUGCUGAUUCUAAACCCGACAAAUAAAUCAUGAGAAAAGAAAAUGAUAUACCAAUAUCCCAUAUGACCAUAUACACAAAAAUCCAAAAAAACACUAGCAUGCUGAAUCUAGCACCAUAGUAAAAAUAUUAUAUACCAUGACUAAGUGAGAUUUAUCCCAGGAUGCAAGGUUGGUUUGUUACAUGAAAAUUAAUCAAUGUAAUACACCAUUUAAUAGAAUAAAGAAUGAAAACAACAUGGUCAUCUCAAUAAAUGUGCAAAAGCAUUUGACAAAAGCCAAUACCCUUUCAUGAUAAUAACAUUCAAGAAAUUAGGAAUAGAAAAAACUUCCUCAGCAAGAUAAAAGGCAUUUAUCAAAAAUCCACAGCUGAUAAAAUCCUCAGUGGUGAAAGACUGAAACUUUCUCUCUGAGAUCAUAUACAAUACAAGGAUAACCACUCUCAUCAUUUGUAUUUAACAUUGAACUAGAGUUUUUAGAGAGGAAAUUCAGGCAAAAAAUAAAAUUAAAGACAUCCAGACAAGAAAGAAAGAAGUCAAACUAUUUCCAUUUGUAGAUGAAACAAUCUUAUAAACAAAAAAUCCUAAGGAACACACACACACACACACACACACACACACACACACACACACACACACAAUUAGAACUAAUGAAUGACUUCAACAAUGUUGCAGGAUAUAAGAUAAAUAUUAAAAAUUAGUUGUAUUUCUAUACACUUGCAAUCAACGAUUAGAAAGUAACUUCAAGAAAAUUCCAUGUAUAAUAGCAUCAAGAUGAUAAAAAUAUUUAGCAAUAAAUUUAACAAAAGAACUGAAAACCAUGAAACAGUGUUGAAAUAAUUUAAAGAUGCAAAUAAAUGGAUAAAUAUUCCAUGUUCAUGAACUGGUAGAAUUAGUAUUGUUAAGACAAAAAUACUCCCUGAAUUAAUCUUUAGAGCUGAUGUAAUCCCUGUACAAAUUUCAACUGUCAUUUUUUCAGAAAUUGAGAAGCUGAUCUUAAAAUUCACAUAGAAAUUCAAAAGACCUACAAUAAACAAAACAAUCUUGAAAAAGAAGGAAGUAGGAGAACUCACAUUUCUCAAUUCCAAAACUUAAUACAAAGCUACAGUAAUCAAGACAGUGUGGCAUAAGCAUAGACAUAUACAUCAGUAGACUAGAAUUGAGAAUCUAGAAGUAAACCGAUACGUCUAUGUUCAUUUGUUUUUGACAAGAAUAAUCUUUAAAACACAUGAUGUUGGGAUAAUUGAAUAGUUGCAUGCCAAAGAAUGAAGUUGGGCCUUUACCUCUCAAAUCAUGUACAAAAAUUAUUUCAAGAUGGCUUAAUUAUCUUUAUUAUUUCUUUCCUUCUAGUGAUUUUGGUUUUGGUUUGUUCUUUUCUAAUUCCUUGAAGUUCAUCUUUGGGUUGUUUUUUGAAAUCUUUCUAGAUUUUUGAUGUAGGCAUUUGUUGCUAUAAAUAUGUCUCUUAACACUGCUUUUGCUGUGUCCCAUACGUUUUGGUAUGCUGUGCUUCUAUUUUUAUUUGUUUCAAGAAAUGUUUAAAUUUCAUUCUUAAUUUCUUCCUUCAUCCAUAGGUUGUUUGGGAGCCUGUUGUUUAAUUGCAUGUUCGUACUCACAUGUGGAAGCUAAACAAAAGUUGAUCUCAUAGAAAUAAAAUGAAUAUAGGAUACUAGAGACUGGGAAGGGGGAAGGGAAGGGACAUGGUUAGGAAGAGAUUUGUUACAGGACACAAAGUUACAGCUAGAGAGGAAGGAUCAGUUCCAGUGUUCCAUAACACUGUAAGAUGACUGUUGUUAACAAUAAAAUAUUACAUAGUUUCAAAUAGCUACAAGGAGGAUAUUGAAUGUUCCUAACACAAACGAAUGACAAAUGUUUCAGAUGAUGGCUAUGCUAAUUACCCUGGUCUGAUUACUGUGCAUUAUAUGAAUUGAAACAUCACUAUGUACCCUGUGAAUAUAUUCAAUUAUUAUUUGUACAUUAAAAAUUAAAUUAAAAAAUAAAGUACUAGC
rnacentral:lncRNA from 1 species